GCCUGGGUGGCUCAGUCGGUUAAGUGUCUGACUUCGGCUCAGGUCAUGAUCUCACGGUUCAUGGGUUCGAGCCCCGUGUCGGGCU
rnacentral:tRNA from 1 species